rnacentral:rRNA from 1 species
GAUGAACGCUGGCGGCGUGCCUAAUACAUGCAAGUCGAGCGAACGGACGAGAAGCUUGCUUCUCUGAUGUUAGCGGCGGACGGGUGAGUAACACGUGGAUAACCUACCUAUAAGACUGGGAUAACUUCGGGAAACCGGAGCUAAUACCGGAUAAUAUUUUGAACCGCAUGGUUCAAAAGUGAAAGACGGUCUUGCUGUCACUUAUAGAUGGAUCCGCGCUGCAUUAGCUAGUUGGUAAGGUAACGGCUUACCAAGGCAACGAUGCAUAGCCGACCUGAGAGGUUGAUCGGCCACACUGGAACUGAGACACGGUCCAGACUCCUACGGGAGGCAGCAGUAGGGAAUCUUCCGCAAUGGGCGAAAGCCUGACGGAGCAACGCCGCGUGAGUGAUGAAGGUCUUCAGAUCGUAAAACUCUGUUAUUAGGGAAGAACAUAUGUGUAAGUAACUGUGCACAUCUUGACGGUACCUAAUCAGAAAGCCACGGCUAACUACGUG